rnacentral:rRNA from 1 species
GAUGAACGCUGGCGGCGUGCUUAACACAUGCAAGUCGAACGGAAAGGCCCAAGCUUGCUUGGGUACUCGAGUGGCGAACGGGUGAGUAACACGUGGGUGAUCUGCCCUGCACUUCGGGAUAAGCCUGGGAAACUGGGUCUAAUACCGGAUAGGACGAUGGUUUGGAUGCCAUUGUGGAAAGUUUUUUCGGUGUGGGAUGAGCUCGCGGCCUAUCAGCCUGUUGGUGGGGUAAUGGCCUACCAAGGCGUCGACGGGUAGCCGGCCUGAGAGGGUGUACGGCCACAUUGGGACUGAGAUACGGCCCAGACUCCUACGGGAGGCAGCAGUGGGGAAUAUUGCACAAUGGGCGCAAGCCUGAUGCAGCGACGCCGCGUGGGGGAUGACGGCCUUCGGGUUGUAAACUCCUUUCGCUAGGGACGAAGCGUUUUUGUGACGGUACCUGGAGAAGAAGCACCGGCUAACUACGUG